AGGGUGCAAACGUUGCUCGGAAUUACUGGGCGUAAAGCGCGUGUAGGCGGCCCUGCAAGUCGGAUGUGAAAUCCCACGGCUCAACCGUGGAAGUGCAUUCGAAACUGCAGGGCUAGAGUCCUGGAGAGGAAGGUGGAAUGCUUGGUGUAGAGGUGAAAUUCGUAGAUAUCAAGCGGAACACCGGUGGCGAAGGCGGCCUUCUGGACAGUGACUGACGCUGAGACGCGAAAGCGUGGGGAGCAAACAGG
rnacentral:rRNA from 1 species